UGGGUUCUACUUCAAAUUUCCACUGCACUGCCUCAAGCCAAUUCCUCUCCUGUGAACCAGGCUCCCUUAUGAUCAUGCCAGGGAAACUGAAAACCUUAACUGAUCUCUCUGCCUCUAUAUGUUUUCCACUCUAAAACAUGCUGAGUAUCACUGCUAAAUUAAUCCUACUAAAAGACCAGUUUAUACCAUUCUUUGCUCAAAUGUUAUAUUGCCCAAACAUCAUUAGGGCAGUAUUUCUAUGAAGUUUGAGCAAUAGAACAUAGGAUUGGGACAGUAAACUGGUAUGCUAGAUUACUGUCCCAAUCGUAUGAUUGUGUCAGUUGCUGCCUACCCUUCUGCAGAAAGAGGGCCUUAACACUGAAGCUUAGUCCUAUCCAGUUUCUUGGCCAAUCACAAACAAGGCAGGAUGUACACCUGGAACUACAAGCAGAAGCAGAGAAGCAAUAGAGGAUACUACUGAGUAGUUUAGUCUCUGAAGACAGACUGACAGAAUUUAAAUUGAGGCUCUCCACUUAACAGGUAUGUGCGACCUUGGGCAAAUUAUUUAACAUAUCUGUAUCUCAGUUGUCUCAUCCAUAAAAUCAGACAGUAACAGCUCAUAUCUCACAAAUAUGUGAGAAUUAAAUGAGUAAAUAAAUGCAAAACACUUAGAAAAGUGUCUGCCACACUGUAUGUGCUCAGUAAAUGUUAGUUAUUAUUGUCAUGGGUAUGGGUAGAGUAUAGAAUCAAUCUUCUUGCUCAGAAUCUGCUUGAGAGUAUACAACAAAUUUAGUAUACCAUGUUUCCACCUCACCCUCAACCCAACAGACAUUAAUUUUGAUUGCUGGUCUAUUCUCCUUAGGACCAGUUCUAUUUUUUCUAGUAUGAAAUGAUCUGCUAAUCUUAGAACACCAGGGUAUGAUUUGGCCAUCUAAAGCUAUUAUAACAAAGAGCAGAAUAAUCAUUUUAGAUAGACAGAAGAAAGAACUAGGUAAAGACAGAGAGACAAGAAAUAAAAAAGACCAAAAUAUUCAUGUGUAAAAACGUGAAGAAAAAAAAUAAGACCAUCAAUGUAGGCAGAAGAUUUUAAUGACAGUCUAGGACUCUAUUUUAUUAUUUUGGUUUGUUGGUAAUAU
rnacentral:lncRNA from 1 species